UUGGGUGAUAAGAGAGUUUUUUUUUUUUUUAAUCAAGGGCAAUAUUUUCAAUUCAAUGGAAUUUUGUGGGCUUUAGUUGGUAAUUUGUAGGUGAUGUUUAGUAAUCCACUAAAAGUUGUGGGAAAUUCCUCCCCCUAGAUGGCUAAAACUCCAAAAUUAUUAGCGGGAAUACUCCCUUCAAAUUUCCACAAGUAAAAGUAAAGUGACUAAAUUCUAAACUACAAAAAACAAAAAUAAAUGUAAAACAAUAAGAAAAAAAAAAAAAAAAACCUACAGCCCUAGAAUCUUCCUCAGCCGUUUUCGUUUUUUCAUUCCAUCCAUUACUCCAUUGAAGUCCAAUCUCUCUCUUUUGUCUUCACUCUUCUCUAAUCUUAUGCUACUCAUCUCAAGCGCUCUGGCAAGGAAGCCAAUUCACGAGCUUCCUGUACUUGAGGUGCGCUUAAUUUGAUUUGCAUGUGGUUCUCCAUUCCCUCAGUUGAAACGCGCCUUCUGAGCUUUCUCUCCUCCAUUGAAGCCAGCCUUUGAGCAAAGGAGGAUGAUGGAUUUUUUGGUUCGGCUCCAAGUGUUAAUUGUCAACAAUUUUAAGAGUCGAAUAUUGGAGUAUAAUUAUUUAGAAUAUUUUGUAAUUUCUUUUGGUAUUGAACAUUAUGUUAUGUACGCAUUAUUAUUGUACUAUUUUUUUUUUCUAGACUUGUGAGAAUUAUGACUUUUAUUUCAAGCUUUAGUAAAUUUUUUCUUAAUCUUAUGGAAAAACUACGUAGAAUAGUUGUUAAAUUUCAAUCUUUUUAAGAAUUUUUAAUAACUUAUAAAGAGAAAAGGCCGAAGAAAUCGAGAAAAGUAAUGCUCAAAAUCUGUAAAUUACUUACACUGUUACACAUUACAAAUUAAUAAAAAAAAAAUUAAGCCAGUUUGAUUGCGGUUAUUUUCUAUUUUGGUUUGCUCAGGUCAAAUCGUUAGCUUAAAUAGAUUCUGGUCAUUUCAAGUAUAAGAUAAUUUUAGUUCGGGUCACUUUGGGUUUCGAGUCUAUUUGGGUCAAUUAAUUCAAGUUAAAGGUCGGGUCACUUUGGGUAUCGGGUCAACUUCGUGUCUGGUCAUUUCGGGUCUCGGGUCUCGGGUCAACUUCGGGUCAGGUCAUUUCUGGUCAAGUCGUUUCGGGUUUCGGGUCAAGGUUGGGUCAAUUCCACUUCGGGUCGGGUAUGGAUCAGGUCGGGUUGAUUUCGGGUUUCAGAUCAAUUUCGGGUCACUGUUUUUGGGUCGAUUUCGGGUCAUUCGGGUUUGGGUCAGGAUUGCCAGGUCUAAUGAUAGCAGAGAGCUUGGAGAUGACAAAAGGAAGACGAAGGAAAUGCCUAAGGCUGUGAAUGUUGAUGACAUUCUGUUGGACAAUGGAGGAGAGGUGGAGAGACUCAAGGUUUUGAUGGAGAGGGCCCUGGAUGAGAGAUCUAAGAGAUCCUAAGCCUGACCAGUUAUCCAUCCAUAAGGAACAGUUGCAGUCUCUGCCUAAACCCCAUAUGGAUAGCUUGGAGAAGAAAUUCCAAACUUUCCCUAUAUGCUAUUUAGAAGUUUGUGGGUCACCUAAUUCGCUCUUUUCUUCCGAUUCUCUCUCCUCCAAUCAAUCUCUCUCUCCUCCGUUAAAGUCAGUGCUCUGAAUUCACCAUCAAAGCGGCUUCUGAGCUUUCACUUCUCCAUUGAAGCGACUUACGAGCUUUAUUUACUCCAUUAAAGCAGCUUCUAAGUUACUUAUGUUGAUAUUCAAUGAGGCCAACUUAGCUAAUCUUAAUCAAUUUUCAGGUAUGUUAUUCAAAUCUCUUGCUUACAAACUGAGUGAAAAUGAAUUGUUAAUGCUUCUUGUUAUUUCUAAAAAUAAUUAGAAAAUUAGUAAAAGUAAAACAAUUAGUCUCAAAAGUAAAUAGAAAAUUAGUAAAAGUAAACCAAUUAAUAGAUCACAUAAAACUGAACCUAUGAUUUAUAAUAUGAGCAUUCAGAAAAUGUAGCUUGUGUUAGCUCUUAUCAGAUAAGAAAGUUGAAAUGAGGUGAUUUACUGCCUCGUGUAUGGUAUAGUUUAAACUCUAGCUGCAUUCUAUUAUUUGAUGAUCUUAUCCUCUUAAAGUAGACACAAAUUUUAUAAAAGUAAACUAAUUGAAUUUAAAAGUAAAAGCUCAAUCAAAUGCUAAAUAUAAAAUCUCUGAGUUUGUGCUAAUUGGUGCUAAAGGAUUUUGGUGUGAAAGUUGAGGAUGUGAUCAAUACGGCUAUGAAUUUGGUUGGUGAAUAUGAAAAAGCUAAUGUGGUUGCUUCACCUAAGUCAAGCUCAGUUGGUAGUACUUGCAAGACUUGGCACCUCCCUGACUUUGACUUCUAUAAAAUCAAUACUAAUGCUGCUGUUUUCAAUGAUAAUUCGAUUGGCUUUGGCGGUAUUGUGCGUGACAGUGAGGGUGAAAUUAUGGCUGCUAUUUGUUGUUUGAUGAAAGGUAGUUUUGAGGUUGAGGCUGCAGAAGCAUUUGCAGCUAGACAUGCCUUAACAAUUGCUAUGGAAGCUGGCCGUAGCAAUGUUAUCCUUGAAACUAACAACAGUAAACUCUUUUCGUGGGAGAAAUUGACAAGAAUAAUCUCAUUUUUAGUGAAAAUUUUACAAUAAUUCACAUAUUUUUUCAAAGUAAUUAAUUAUAUUACUUUAUUAAUGGUAUUAAAGAGUA